ensembl:lncRNA
CACAGGGGCUGGCAGAAUACCUCACGCACAAGUCAGUGCCAUCAGAUAGGUGAAUUUCUGCUCACGGGUUAACGGGUGAUCCAUUUAUAAAUGAGCAGGUUACCUGCUUGUGGGCCAGUCGGCUACGUACUCAAGGACUGGUGGAUUAAUCCACUUCUACAUUGAUCUGUUCAGAGACUGGCACACUAGUCCAUGUAUGAGUUAGUGAGUUAGCCCACUCAUUGAGCAGUGAACUAGGGGACUUGUAGACUACACUAGGCUACUUUACAGACUGCCGCUUAGUCCACUUAUACAGUAACCACUCAUAGAUUGGUGGAUUAAUCCACUAAUAAGUUAGCACAUCGGCCCACUGGUGGAUUAGUGGAUUAAUGAAGUCAUAGAUGAAUGGGCUUGUCCACGCAUAGAUUAGUGGACUAGGCCAUUCGUGGAUGAGUAGGUCCAUGGACUACUGUAUUAGUCCACUUAUGGGCUUAUGUACUCAUAAAUGGGUGGAUUUUAUCCUUUAUGAAUUAGCGAAAUAGACUACUCGAACAUUGGUAGGUUAAUCAAGUCAUAGAUUAAUGGAUUCACCCACACACAGAUUAGUGGACUAGGCCAUUCAUGGAUGAGUAGUUCUACCUCCUCAUGGACUAGUGGAUUAACCCACUUAUAGUCUAAUGUAUAGAUAGUGGAUUAAUGCAUUCAUGAAUUAGUGGAUCAGCCUACUAGGCAAUUCAUAGAUUAGUGAGCUGGUCUACUCCUGGAUCAGUGGAUUAAUCUAUUUAUAUACUAGUGGAUUUAUAUAGACUAAUGGAUUUGUCCAUUUAUAUACUAGUGUAUUUAUAAAUUAGUGGGUUAAUACACUUAUAUACUGAUGAUGUAUUCAUAAGCCACUGCAUUAACCUACUUAUAUAUUUAUACAUUAGUGGGAUCACCCACUUAUAUACUAAUGUAUUUGUAGAUUAGCGGAUUAACCCAUUCAUGAAUCAGUGGAUUGGCCCACUCAUGGAUUAGUGGGCAAUCAGUUCAUGGACUCGAAAACUCUUUGAGCCAAUAAACCUCCAUUCUUUACCAAUUUCCCAGCCCGUGGCAUUCAUCACAGAGGCAGAAAACAGAGUGAGGCAGUCACAGCAUGAUUUGUUUCCAUCGUUGACAAGAGACUAAGCCCAUCGGACAAGCACUUCAGAAGGUGUUGCAGCCAGCAGCAUACCUGAGACAGGGGGAUCUCAGCCAGCGCCACCUGAAGCUUGGCCUCCCCUUGGUGCGGGCAUUGCAGCGAAAAAAAAUGUGCAGGACGAUGGUGAAGCGGUCAAACACCUCCGCGGCCCAGGCUGCCUCCAGCUCUUUCUAGAAAGGAGAGGCUCCUCCCUUCUCUCUCUUCCUGGCUGCCAUGGCACGGGCGUCUUUCCUCCCCAACACCCAUCUGCCAUGAGCGUUCUUGCCUUGGAGCAGCUGGGCAUGGACUGAAACCCCCUGAGACCACUGGAGCAGCCAGCUAUGCAACCCUCUAAAACUAUGAGUGCUGGAACUGUUUAGACGAUGGGACUCUUGGAGAGAAGAUGAAUGUGUUUUGCAUUGAGAUGGACACACGCACUUGGGAGCCAGGGCGGGAAUGUUAUGGUUGGGAUCUGGCAUUGAAGGCUUAGACCCUGUAGGGAGGCGGUGGAACCUUUAAGGGGCGUGGCCUAGUGGGAGGAAGUGAGGUCACUGGGGGUGUGGCUAUAUGGGCAUAUGAGGACCCCAGGCGCUUCCACGCUCUCUCCUUCUUGGCCACCAUGAUGUGAGCAGCUUUGCCCCACCCCUCCCAACCGCCGUGAUGUUUCUGCCUCAUCACAGGCCUAAAAGCAGUGGAACCCGACAACCAUGGACUAAAACCUCUGAGACCAUGAGCCAAAAUAAACCUUCCCUUUUUCGUUUU